rnacentral:lncRNA from 1 species
AAUUUAGAUCUUAACAAAACAAGUGCCCUGGGAUUGUAAUAAUGAUUGAUUUUCUUGUUUUUCUUAGAUGCCCAUUUUCAGGGUCUUGAUGAAGAGAUGCACAAUUACUUGCAAAAGCAUCAAGAUAUAGACUUGCACUGUGCACCAGUAAGUUUUGCAAAGAAGUUGAACAGGUCACCUGGGAGAAAUAUGAGUGGCGUGGAGACUCAUGUUGUCUAUGCUGAAAUAAAAUGAUUUACAGAUUAUUAAAAGAUUGUUCUUUGUGGAGACUGGUUAACAUAUGAUAUGUCACCAAAACGUGAAAUUCUGAUUGUGUGUUCUUAGUGGUGAGUUAAGGUGUGUUGUGUUAAAAUUAUAAUGUACAUUCUUUAAAUACAUAAUAAUACAUUUUCUUGGGAUUUUCUGCUUCAAAUGGCAAAAUACUGUGUAUUGUGUAUUUUCUUUCAUCAAUAGUUUAAGGAUUAUUUUAAUCAGAGAGUACACACUUGAAUGACGUAUAAAUCACAACAUGGUUUUAUUUCCAUAACUAGGUCUUAUUUAAUUGCUUUUAAUGCAUCUGUGCCAUCUUAGUAGUGUAAAGACAGCAUUAAGUAAGCAAAAUCUCAAGCUCUACCAGUGUCUGUGGACUGCAGUUUGAAUGCCAUGUGGCUGAUAGAUUUAAAUUCAAGAGUAGGCUCUUGUUGGGUUAUUCCAGAAAAUUUAACUCCAAGCCAGUUAAAAAGCAAAUAUAUGAAUUAAAACUAUAAUAUUAUUCUCCUUAAGUUUGGGUGGUGGUAUUCUCCACCAAUUUGGGUGGUGUUGGCGCAGUGGAUAAGACACAUGCCUUUGGUAUGAAAGAUCCGGGUUUGAAUCCACUGUGAGACACCAAUGUGUACCUGAGGCAAGACACUCAACCCUUAGUUGCUCCAGAGGCGUGCGACCUCUAACAUAUAUAGCAACUGUAAAUCACUUUGGAUAGAAGCAUCAGCUAAAUGUAAAUAAAUAAAUUCAUUUGCAUCUUUAUUUGUUUUGUGAUAGAUAUUCUCUGAGAAGUGAAUUUGAAAGGAGUGGAUUAUAUUCUUGCAUUUCAUUCCAGUAAAGUCAAAUAGACUAGUCUUCUGUGAGUCAGUGUGAAAAGACAGCAGAUGCCGAUACAGUGUGAUUGCAAUAAUUUAUUUACUGAUUGUACUAGAGGUAAUUGACAUGCAAAGGAUUUUUC